rnacentral:rRNA from 1 species
GGGGAAUAUUGGGCAAUGGGGGAAACCCUGACCCAGCAACGCCGCGUGAGGGAAGAAGGUUUUCGGAUUGUAAACCUCUGUUCUUGGUGAAGAGAAGAAGACGGUAGCCAAGGAGGAAGCCCCGGCUAACUACGUGCCAGCAGCCGCGGUAAUACGUAGGGGGCGAGCGUUGUCCGGAAUGAUUGGGCGUAAAGGGCGCGUAGGCGGCCAUGCAAGUCAGUAGUGGAAGUCCAUUUUUCAAGGGUGGAAGUGCUAUUGAAACUGCGGGGCUUAAGUAUGGGAGAGGUCAUCGGAAUUCCCGGUGUAGCGGUGAAAUGCGUAGAGAUCGGGAGGAACACCAGUGGCGAAGGCGGGUGACUGGACCAUAACUGACGCUGAGGCGCGAAAGUGUGGGGAGCAAAC